GACGAACGCUGGCGGCGUGCUUAACACAUGCAAGUCGAACGGAAAGGCCCUGCUUUUGUGGGGUGCUCGAGUGGCGAACGGGUGAGUAACACGUGAGUGACCUGCCCUUGACUUUGGGAUAACUUCAGGAAACUGGGGCUAAUCCCGGAUAGGAGCUCCUGCUGCAUGGUGGGGGUUGGAAAGUUUCGGCGGUUGGGGAUGGACUCGCGGCUUAUCAGCUUGUUGGUGGGGUAGUGGCUUACCAAGGCUUUGACGGGUAGCCGGCCUGAGAGGGUGACCGGCCACAUUGGGACUGAGAUACGGCCCAGACUCCUACGGGAGGCAGCAGUGGGGAAUAUUGCACAAUGGGCGGAAGCCUGAUGCAGCAACGCCGCGUGCGGGAUGACGGCCUUCGGGUUGUAAACCGCUUUCGCCUGUGACGAAGCGUGAGUGACGGUAAUGGGUAAAGAAGCACCGGCUAACUACGUG
rnacentral:rRNA from 1 species